GAAAAAUCUUUAUAACGCAAACAAGAGAAGAAAUAAAGAUGAUGAGCAACAAAGUUAUGGACAACAAAUCUAAAGAAAAGAAACUGCGACAGAUGAAUCUUAUUAAUGACUGGUGAUAGAUUUGAAACCUGUAUCCUUUAAGCUAAUCAUAUUAGAUCUUUCAUAACAUGAUAAUCAAACUCAUGGUUAAAAUCAGGUACUUGUGAAAUAUUACUUUUUUCCAUCAUUUAUUAAACCUACAUGUUGCCUUGGAAGCUAGUUCUUCUUGUGAUGCUCAAAAUAUUGUUAAAAGCAUAUACAUUUGCAUUUAAUAAAAAUGCACACUGUAUAAAAAUAUUGAAGUAAAAAAUAAUGAUAUAGGUAUUUUCAGUGUAUUGAGUGUAUUGCCUCGAAUAAAAACUUGUGUAUUAUUUCACUUUUCACAUUCUAAUUAUGUGCAAACUAUUCUAAACCUUUUCUACUGAUGAUAGGUGUUUUUAUUAGCAAAUGUUUGUUUUAUCUUCACCACCAUUGUAGUCGUUGGUACAUUUGUUUUUUUUUAGUCAUGAUAAAUAUAUAUCUAUUCCCCU